rnacentral:rRNA from 1 species
CGUUAUUCNGGAUUUACUGGGCGUAAAGGGCGCGUAGGCGGUCUUAUAAGUCAGAUGUGAAAGCCCGGGGCUCAACCCCGGAAGUGCAUCUGAAACUAUGAGACUUGAGUAUGGGAGAGGGAAGUGGAAUUCCUGGUGUAGCGGUGAAAUGCGUAGAGAUCUGAAGGAACACCAGUGGCGAAGGCGACUUCCUGGACUAAAACUGACGCUGAGGAACGAAAGCGUGGGUAGCAAACGGGAUUAGAUACCCCGGUAGUCCACGCCGUAAACGAUGUCAACUAGCCGUUGGGCCUAUAUACAGGUUUAGUGGUGGAGCUAACGUAUUAAGUUGACCGCCUGGGGAGUACGGCCGCAAGGUUAAAACUCAAAUGAAUUGACGGGGGCCCGCACAAGCGGUGGAGCAUGUGGUUUAAUUCGAUGCAACGCGAAGAACCUUACCAGCCCUUGACAUCCAGAGAAGCUACUAGAGAUAGAAGUGUGCCUUCGGGAACUCUGUGACAGGUGCUGCAUGGCUGUCGUCAGCUCGUGUCGUGAGAUGUUGGGUUAAGUCCCGUAACGAGCGCAACCCUUAUCCUUAGUUGCCAGCACGUAAUGGUGGGAACUCUAAGGAGACUGCCGGUGACAA